GGUCCGACCCUGCGACUCCGGUCCGGUUCACCACCGACGCCGCCGCUAAUUUGAUGUGAGCAACAGCCACCAUUUAAACGAUGACGUUCUAUUGGCCUCGUUUUCUUAUGCUUCGCCGUCAUCCUCAACGACACCGGCGGUGUUGGUGCCCUGCGCUUUGCUUUCACCGCAGAAGGUAUAUUUUGCAGUCAUUUUAGGUCGUACAAUAGAUUCGACUGAUAAUACAUUGCAUUGAAUGUUUGAAGGAUUAGAUGAUUAAACAAGAUCUAAAUGUGUGGUGGAUUAAUCUAUAUCACUUGUAUAUAUCUAAGCUAUCAUUGAGUUGAGACACAGGGUGAGGUUCUAAGCUAAGAAUGUCAUUUCUUUUCUCAUCAGUGAUUUGUUUCCUAAUCAUAGUAUAGGAUGCCACUCAUGCCAGUAAGUGAAAAUGCUUGAAGACUGCUGAAAUCAAUGUAUCAUCUUAUUGUGGCAUUCAUUGGUUUUGAGUNUAUUUUAUUGCAAAUAACAUGUACAAAUCAAAUUAGUCGAAUAUUGGCAUGGAAUUUGGAUGAAAUUUGGCCGGAAUAUAGAUUAGUAGCAAAAUCAGAUAAAAUCAAAAGUUUAGUAAUUAUCACGUCACAAUUUAAAGUUUGUAUGCAAAACCAGAAUUUGAUGAAAGUUUGGUAUUUUAUGGGCAAUUAACCCUUUAUAUUAUAAUAACUAUUAAAUACUAUUGUGACAAUACAUAUAUUGAUUGAUCUCCAGUUUCUAAAAAGUGUAAUUUACGACUGUUAGUUAAAAAGUCUAGCUUCUAAUUAAUCAAAUCAUAAUCAUCUAGAACAUAUUAACCAAAAAUAUUAAAUUACCAAAAAUAUGAACAUGGUCUCCUUUUGCAAUUUUAACCUGAAAUUGUGAUAAAAUUGCUAGAUGAUCUAAAAUUACUUGGUUUCUUUAAAUAAUUUUUCGAGUGAAUUUUUUAUAAUUUUAAAAUUUUUCUUUACACGUCAUAUUUAAUUCACCCAAUGUCCCGCAAUAGCAGCAAAACCAAUACCGACCGGUCCGACCCUGCGACCUCCGGUCCGGUUCACCACCGACGCCGCCGCUCCCACUCCUACAGCCGCUAAUUUGAUGUGAGCAACAGCCACCAUUUAAACGAUGACGUUCUAUUGGCCUCGUUUUCUUAUGCUUCGCCGUCAUCCUCAACGACACCGGCGGUGUUGGUGCCCUGCGCUUUGCUUUGACCGCAGAAGGUAUAGUUUGCAGUCAUUUUAGGUCGUACAAUUGAUUAGACUGAUAAUACAUUGCAUUGAAUGUUUGAAGGAUUAGAUGAUUAAACAAGAUCUAAAUGUGAGGUGGAUUAAUCUAUAUUACUUGUACAUAUAUCUAAGCUAUCAUUGAGUUGAGACACAGGGUGAGGUUCUAAGCUAAUGAGACACAGGGUGAGGUUCUAAGCUAAGAAUGUCAUUUCUUUUCUCAUCAGUGAUUUGUUUCCUAAUCAUAGUAUAGGAUGCCAGUAAGUGAAAAUGCUUGAAGAUUGCUGAAAUCAAUGUAUCAUCUUAUUGUGGCAUUCAAUGAUUUUGAGACAGUAUACUUUUACAAGAGUACAUGAUCUGCCCUAAAUAGUUGCUCACAGAAUUCAUUUCAUUCCCCUCUCACAUUAUUAGCUACAAGAGGAUGAAUUGUUAGGGGUUCAUAAACCAAGGAUUUCAUAUCUUCCAUCAUUUGUUGUGGAGAUGUGAAUUCAUCGCCGCUUGCAUACAAAUAACACCCAAUCCUGCAUACCUUCAGAAACAUAUCUUUGCAUUGUCUUGGGAAGAUGGUUCCUGUUUUGUAGACAAUCUGCAUCAGUUGUCUCCUGUUACAUUCAGCCAUUUCUUUUGCUAUUCUAAUGGCUUCUUCUUCAGUAAAGGAGCUGUCAUCUUUGUUAGCUGCUAGCAGAAGGGUCACACUGUUUCCAGUAUUUUCUUUGCGUUCCUUCUGUCAAAGCACAUUAAGUUUAUUAUGCAUCCAAAGAAAUCUUUCACCAGAGACUACUAAUCUGUAUUUGUAAUGUGAGAUGCUGAUAUUUGGUUAAUGUUUUCUAGUGUUGCACUUGUAUUCUUGGAAGAAUCUUACCUCAAAAGUUUGCACAUCGUUGAGCAGCCGGUCAACCAUGGAGACAUGCCUACACAGAUCAAUGCACUCUUCACUCAGAAGCAUUUCAUCGGAUAGUUUUAUACCGAUGAAUUGCAUCGACAUGAGGAUGCAGAUUCUGCAGCCAAUUGACACCCAGGAGGCAGACAAGUAAUCAUCCAAGGUUAGUGCCGUGUCAUCGCUCCAUGUAUCCAAUUCUCUCUUGAAAAUUGAUAGUAUUUGAACCCACUGCACUUGUAGCAAACAUAAAAAUUACUUACCAGGAAAACAAAUAUAAGAUGUUAUGCAAUCAUUUAAAGCAUCUUGUUAAUACGACGUACCAGCUUUAUUAGAAAAUCUUUAACACUACGUCCGUGUUCGACAUGAGCCCUCUCUGCCAACUCAUUUACUGUGUUGUAUACUGCUGUAAAAAGAAUUUCAACUUCCUCGGAACCAUAUUCUGCGGCUGGCUUCUAUUUCCAUCUGUUUUUUCACAUUUUGUUGGGACAAAGUUACUAGCUUAUUAUACAUGAAUAAAAAGGAAAAGAAAGCAAUGAACAGAUGAGUUUGUGGAAGGAAGUUUACUCUUUUAUUAAUUCAAGGAUCUUGUAGGACUCUUCUCUAGACCCACGAUGAUCGAAAAAAUCAUCAAUACGUGUCACAAGCACAAUAUGUUGGGCAAAGACUAUGCGAACAUCAGACAAUUCAGGAUCACCAAUAAUUGCUGAAGUUAGAAAAUUAGCAACACGCACUACAUCUCUUCCAUACUUCAAGGUGUCCAACUUACAAUCUGCAUACCACCUACAUGCAUUUUGGUUUGAUGCAUCAAGUAUAUUACUCCUUAUUUAGAUGAAGUUUUAUGGUUAAGCUAUCACAUUGUCAUACCUUUGCAGUUGCUGAAGUUCUUUCUGGUGUUGGGCUUGGCAAAUGUUAAAAUCUUGCCUCGCAAAUGCUAGAAAAUCUUCACUGCAUAGAUUAGAGAACCUAAAACAAAGAAAAAACAUGUUUUUGUUUAGUAUAGAUCGGCAGAAACUGUUUAUCAGAUAUGAGGCAGAUUCAACAUACUGAAUGCCACUCUUUACCUAUUUGCAGCUUUUGCAGUUCGAUAAUAGCUUAUAUCAUAUAGGUCGAGGUUUUGUCUAACUCCCAUUCUAUCUAAUAUCCCGUGAUAGUUCUUCAAGUAGUAUUCCACCUUGACAUUUUUGUGAAAGAAAAAACUUGAUCAGUAUAAAAUUUAAUCUUGAAAAGGUGACUAUUUUAAGCUGAUUAAGAAAAACAUUAAUUAGUAAGCACCAGUUUGUGCAACUUCUUGUCAGGAAUGGAGUUAGUGAGCAACUUCUGCUUAAGAAAGGUGGUGGUCCAAGCAUGUAGUUUCUUAAGACUGCUCUCGUCUUCCCCUGUUCUCUCCUGUGCUGCUCUGUAAAGCUCGAUAACUGUCGCCACUUCAAUCGUUUGCAGGUCAACAUGCUCUUGGUCAGCAUACGGAGCCAGUUCCUCUAAACAACGACGAAAAAGGUUCGUUCACAUUUGUGCAUCUAUCUUAGAUUCUUGUACAUCUUAUGUAUAAUUUGAAUGGUGUUUCCACGUACCUGAUGAAACUUCAUAUCCCUUGACACGCAAAAGUCUAAAUGCCAUUGCAUGAAUAGUAGUAUCCGAAAAUAUCGCUCUCUCUUUCCGUUGCCAUAACCUGUUGAUCAUCGAAGCAGAUAUUCAAGCCUCGGCUUCUGAUUCUAUGCAUAAAAGCAAUGUGGAUCAUCUUUUUCAAUUUUGACAUACCUGUAUGUGUCCUCUAGAAUAGUGUCGAUUUCAGAUCGGAAGUAUCGGUCGACUCCCAACCUUUGGAGGGUGUCGAUUAUACAGAGAUUAGAGGGCAUAUCCGCC
rnacentral:lncRNA from 1 species